GUGGGGAAUCUUCCGCAAUGGACGAAAGUCUGACGGAGCAACGCCGCGUGAGUGAAGAAGGUUUUCGGAUCGUAAAGCUCUUUCGUUAGGGACGAACGUGCUCUUUGUGAAUAAUGAGGAGUAAUGACGGUACCUAAAUAAGAAGCCACGGCUAACUACGUGCCAGCAGCCGCGGUAAUACGUAGGUGGCAAGCGUUGUCCGGAAUUAUUGGGCGUAAAGCGCGCGCAGGCGGGAUAUCAAGUCUGUCUUAAAAGUGCGAGGCUCAACCUCGUGAGGGGACAGAAACUGGGAUUCUUGAGUGUCGGAGAGGAAAGUGGAAUUCCAAGUGUAGCGGUGAAAUGCGUAGAGAUUUGGAAGAACACCAGUGGCGAAGGCGACUUUCUGGACGAUGUCUGACGCUGAGGCGCGAAAGCUAGGGGAGCGAACGGGAUUAGAUACCCGUGUAGUCC
rnacentral:rRNA from 1 species